UCCAGCCCUAGUGAAAAAAAUUGGUGCUGCAACGGCUCUUGAAGUUAGAGCAACCGGCAUUACCUAUGCUUUUUCUCCAAGCAUUGCGGUAUGUAGAGAUCCUAGAUGGGGUCGUUGCUAUGAAAGCUUUAGUGAAGAUCCAAAGCUUGUCCAAGAGAUGACUGAGAUCAUCCCAGGCUUACAAGGAGAUAUCCCAAAAAAUUCUCUCAAAGGAGUUCCCUUUGUAGCUGGCAAGACAAAAAUUGCUGCUUGUGCAAAGCAUUAUGUUGGUGAUGGUGGAACAUACAUGGGCAUUAAUGAAAAUAACACAAUCGCCAAUUUCCAUGAGCUACUUAGCAUCCACAUGCCUCCUUAUUACAAUGCUAUUAUCAAAGGUGUCUCUACAGUGAUGGUCUCUUACUCAAGUUGGAAUGGAGUAAAAAUGCAUGCAAAUCAUUUCUUACUGACAGAUUUCCUCAAAAAUAAGCUCCGUUUCAGGGGUUUUAUAAUUUCGGAUUAUGAAGGUGUUGAUAGGAUUACAACGCCUUCUGGUAUCAAUUAUACAUUCUCUCUACAGACUGGAAUUCUAGCAGGCAUUGAUAUGCUAAUGAUUCCCUAUGACUAUCCUCGCUACUUUGAGAGCUUCCUUGAACUAGUACAUAAAAAUGUAAUUCCAAUGAGUAGAAUCAAUGAUGCCGUUAGGAGGAUUCUUCGAGUGAAGUUCAUAAUGGGCCUCUUUGAGAACCCCUUUGGAGAUUAUAGCUUAGCCAAUGAAAUUGGGAAGCAGGAGCACAGGGAUCUAGCAAGAGAAGCUGUGAGGAAAUCACUGGUUCUACUAAAAAAUGGCAAAAGUUAUAGCGAACCAAUACUACCACUCCCUAAGAAGGCUAAGAAAAUACUUGUUGCUGGUAGCAAUGCUGAUAACUUGGGUUAUCAGUGUGGAGGUUGGACAAUCAAGUGGCAAGGACUUAGUGGGAACAAUCUUACAAUUGGAACUACCUUACUUGAUGCUAUAAAAGCAACAGUAGACCCAAGCACAGAAGUUGUCUUUUCUGAGAACCCUGAUACAUAUUUCAUCCAAGGCAAUGAUUUCUCUUAUGCAAUUGUUGCUAUUGGUGAGCAUUCUUAUGCAGAGACUUUUGGUGAUAACUUGAACCUCACCAUUGCCGAGCCUGGACCGAACACCAUCAAGAAUGUGUGUGAGCAUAUUAAGUGUGUGGUGGUUGUCAUAUCUGGAAGGCCUGUGGUCAUUAAACCCUAUGUUAAUAUGAUUGAUGCCGUUGUGGCUGCCUGGUUGCCUGGAACGGAAGGUCGCGGCAUCACCGAUGUCUUAUUCGGGGACUAUGGGUUCACUGGCAAGCUUCCUAAGACAUGGUUUAAGUCAGUUGAUCAGCUACCAAUGAACUUUGGUGAUGCUUAUUAUGACCCUCUAUAUCCAUUUGGUUUUGGGCUGACAACUGAGCCAGUAAAGACGAGUCAUUGAGCUAUGUUUCCUAUCAACGCAAUAUAUUAAACUAUUUAAUACCACAUUGUCUAAUGUAUAUCUGCUCUCCUAUAAUCUCUCUAUGCGUGUAUCUACUACCUGUGGUAAUCUAUAUAUAGGACUUUGUAUACUGUAAUAAGAAAGAGCUGGUUCCAUCCUGAGGAUCAAACCAUGGUGAACUUCGUCUCCGCAUCAUCGCACGCCGACGAACUUUCAG